AUAAAACCUAGCGGAAUGAGUUAUUACUUUAUUUUAACUUGAUCUUAGACCCGAUACCAUCCACUGGCUAAUACUUAGUUCACGCUCAAUUUACCAAGAACACUCAAAUAACACGAAGGCAAAGUUGCCAGAAUAAAGAAACUUUUUGAAGAACUCGAAUAAGAAGAUUUCGAUUAACUCAGAUUCACAGAUAUGCAACAAGUUUUAGUUUUCGGGUUGCUACUAGUUGUGCCCUCCGUUUUCGGCUUUUCUCUGGUGACCACGUGUCUUACAAAAUGUCUGUAUUGUGUCGACGACUGGGGCAAGGAUGUGUAUAAUGGCAAGGCAUGUGCGCUGGAAUGCGAAAGAAGUAUGGGUAAAAGCAUAGAUAUCGACUGUUCCAUGGGCCACUUGCAGUCCGGAAAACGAACAAUGGUACGUAAUAUGAAACCAUCUGGAAAGGAAACGUGUUUUGGAAAAUGCCGCCGAUGUGCUUCAAUAAAAGGUCUUAAGGUUCUCGAUGAGUUAUCAUGUAUAUUUGGAUGUAUUUCCAAUUCGAAAGUGCCUUUCGAUUGUUAAAUUAUUAAAUUAUAACUAACUGCUUCGGGCGUGUUGACUGAAAUCUAAUCGAGCAUGAAGCAUCUAAAUGAAUAGGACUUGACCAGAAGCAGAACCGCCAAUACAUAUCAUUUUAUUAUUUAAGAGAAAUAGAUGCUUAACCGGGAUACAUUUAAAUUAAACAUUUUUCUUCUAAUUAUCCUACAAUGACACCUUACAUGUCAUAAUUUUAGUCAUUACACUUGUGUUCAUAUUAUUUUCAUGUAUAUGUAACUGUUAAAUACCCAAGAUCGUGAAAUAAGACUCACAGCAGUGUAACAUAGAAAUGUUAUUAUCAGUAAAAUUGGUUUACAGAAAUAGAUUUAAAAGUUGGAUACAUUCAAAAUAAAGGGUUUAUUUUUUUAUUCACCCAAUGGCAUUGCGACUGCAUUCAUAUUGUUUUUAUUUAUACAUAUAUUUAUGGAGGCUAAAUAUUUGCAGUAGUCCCGUUGAUAUUGUAACAUAAAAACGUUUUUUUAAUAAUUGGUUUGGUUAAUAUUUAAUAAUAAUUUGAGUGGAAAUCAAGAAUUCUAAUUAAAAUCUAAAUAACUUCAUUAAAUCACACAGUAAAAUUUAUAAUUUCUGCAAAAUGUGGUAUUUUUAUUAUAUCGGUCCUGGGCGGGGGUGUUACUUUUCUUUUUAUUUUAUUUUAUUUCAAGAUUUGAUUGUGUUAUAUCGUUAAAGCUCUGUCCAUUAUGUCCAUUAACUAUAAAUCACUAAUAUUUAAAAUCAGAAAGCUCUGUGCAUUAACUAUUAAUCACUAUAUUGGAAACCAGAAAGCUUUGUCCAUUAACUGUUGGUCACUUAUAUUGAAAAUUAGAAAGCUCUGUCCAUUAACUAACAUUGAAAGCCCUUUCCAUUAACUGGUCACGUAUAUUGGAAACCAGAAAGCUCUGUCCCUUAACUAUUUGUCACUAACAUUGAAAACUAGAAAGCUCAAUCCUUUAACAAUUGGACACUUACUUUGGAAACUACAAAGCUAUGUCAGUUAACUAUUAAUCACUAAUAUUGAAAAUCAGAAAGCUCUGUUCAUCAACUAUUGGUCACUUAAUAUUGUCUGGUGAUUUGAAACUGGUAAAAUUAAAAUAUAAAUUGGAAUUGACACUUUCAUUGCUGCAAUGCAAUCGUCAAACUGUGCAUGAAGAUUCAAAUCCGAUGUACCCGUGCCACCAGUGUCUGUCAAUGGGGCUAACGUUUGUUACCACGGAUGGAAAUAUCAUAGACAAGCUGUGACAUCAGACGUAGACGGCAAUUUAAGGCGUAAGGUCGUGUAUUGUGCAAAAUGUUUAGUGAAUUAAAGGCGAGACAAAUAUAACACGCAGAUGCUUUAAUAGACUUAAUAUCAUUUCCUGCGGAUGCUAGAAAACCCGAAGAAGUCAAUUAGUAUUGGAACCGAAUUGAUCAACAAUAUCAAAUACAAUGAUUACUAAGUCCAUCGUAGUCAUUAGUAUACAUAAAUGUUUUAAAGCCGGAAUGUCAUGUAAACUGGAAAAAGCAUCUAAUCACGUUUUUAUUCUUAUACAAAGCUAAACGUAGGAUGCCGAGAUCUCAAUUAUUUAUAGAUAUUGUGGUAUUCUACGCCGUUUAUAUUGUGUUAAAGAUCAUGUAUUUAAAUCGCCAAAUGUAUAUUCAAAAACCCAAGUUAUUUUGUGUUGUAUUGUUCACCUUAUGAUCUGAAGCCCACAAACUGUGGGUGGCGAGGUGGUUAUUAUCAUUUCCGUUCUUUCGCAUUGAUUGAUCGACACCGUGUUUGACUGAUGGGAAUCACAAUCCGAAUUAAGUUUUAUUCUUAUACAUAAACACUUAUACGACCCCUGCCAUAACGAUACCUAAUUCCAGUAAUCGGAAUAAGCUUUCCAUGACCGCAACUAGAAGAAACUCACUGGAAAUCAUAAAAUUUCGCAAGUAACCAAAUUAAUGCAAUAUUAUUUGUAAGGGAAAGUGGAUUCUAAGCUUGUCAAAAGACACUAUUUACCUCUAACAAUUAAGUUAAUGUUAAAAUUGAAUACGAUGUACCCGUAUUUAAGUAUUUAUUGAUGAAAUUUCAUAUCACGUCAUUUUUGUUUUAUUUAUUCAUGGAUUAAUUCCCUAAUUCAUCCCUCAAUUAAUUAAUGCUGUAUUUUAUUUUAUCUUUAUGUUUUAUUGUGUUAUAGUUUCUCUCUGUUGGUAUUU